rnacentral:lncRNA from 1 species
UGCCUGAUGAGAGAGUCAUUCCUGAACAAUAUGAAGUUCUAGUAUCAUUUUGGAAUAGUGAUGAAGCGAAGGUAACAUGCAUAGCUUAUUUUCACUAUUUCAUCCUCAAAAUCAUAAAUAUGUAAUUUAAAUUUUUAAAUAUAUUUAGCUAUUAAAUUUUUUUUUACCAUCUUAGAACCGUAGUGCUAAAAAUAAAUCUAG